rnacentral:lncRNA from 1 species
AAAUUUUUGAACAUCAUAAACUUCUCUAAUUGGGAUACUAUCUAGAACUUAUGCAUGUUUUCUGGAUGAAGAUAUUCAAGAGGAUUCGAGCAGAGUUUCUUACUAGUCAUGUUCUGGCUAAAAGAGUGGCAUUUUUUUAGGGUUGAAAGUAGGCAGAGAGUGAAAAGAGAGAAUGAUAAAUAGUUCUUGAUUAUCAGAGAGAUAGUCGAUGAGUGUUUUCUCUAAG